AUACAGAGGGUGCGAGCGUUAAUCGGAAUUACUGGGCGUAAAGCGCGCGUAGGCGGUUAUUUAAGUCAGAUGUGAAAUCCCUGGGCUCAACCUAGGAACUGCAUCUGAAACUGGGUAACUAGAGUUUAGGAGAGGGGAGUAGAAUUUCGGGUGUAGCGGUGAAAUGCAUAGAGAUCUGAAGGAAUACCAGUGGCGAAGGCGACUCCCUGGCCUAGAACUGACGCUGAGGUGCGAAAGCGUGGGUAGCAAACGGGAUUAGAUACCCUAGUAGUCC
rnacentral:rRNA from 1 species